CGACGAGUGGCGACUUGAGAAGUGCCGGCUGCGCCCCCAUAAUCCGAGACAUGGUUGUAACUCCGGCGAGCUGGAGGCGUUCUGGACAGGGGUUCGAUUCCCCUCACCUCCACCCAAGCGCAUACGGUGUGCUUCGGUGGGGGUGUACUGGUUUCGACAGGGCGGGCAAAGGUUAGCAGGCAACCCGAAAGGCGACGGACGUAAUCCGCGCAAAUCCAUAAACGCCAACGAUGAGCGUUUCGCACUGGCCGCUUAAGGCUAGAGCCGGGGCCGCGGAAGCGUGGGAGCCCAGGACAGCCGGUGGGGGCGUCGGCCCCCAGCGUCA
rnacentral:tmRNA from 1 species